AUUGAACGCUGGCGGCAGGCUUAACACAUGCAAGUCGAGCGGAGAUGAGGUGCUUGCACCUUAUCUUAGCGGCGGACGGGUGAGUAAUGCUUAGGAAUCUGCCUAUUAGUGGGGGACAACAUUCCGAAAGGAAUGCUAAUACCGCAUACGUCCUACGGGAGAAAGCAGGGGAUCUUCGGACCUUGCGCUAAUAGAUGAGCCUAAGUCGGAUUAGCUAGUUGGUGGGGUAAAGGCCUACCAAGGCGACGAUCUGUAGCGGGUCUGAGAGGAUGAUCCGCCACACUGGGACUGAGACACGGCCCAGACUCCUACAGGAGGCAGCAGUGGGGAAUAUUGGACAAUGGGGGAAACCCCGAUCCAGCCAUGCCGCGUGUGUGAAGAAGGCCUUAUGGUUGUAAAGCACUUUAAGCGAGGAGGAGGCUACUGAGACUAAUACUCUUGGAUAGUGGACGUUACUCGCAGAAUAAGCACCGGCUAACUCUGUGCCAGCCGCCGCCGUAACAC
rnacentral:rRNA from 1 species